rnacentral:rRNA from 1 species
GAGUUUGAUCCUGGCUCAGAACGAACGCUGGCGGCAGGCCUAACACAUGCAAGUCGAGCGCGCCUUUCGGGGUGAGCGGCGGACGGGUUAGUAACGCGUGGGAAUAUACCCUUUGGUACGGAAUAGCCUCUGGAAACGGAGAGUAAUACCGUAUGAGCCCUUUGGGGGAAAGAUUUAUCGCCAAGGGAUUAGCCCGCGUUAGAUUAGGUAGUUGGUGGGGUAAUGGCCUACCAAGCCUACGAUCUAUAGCUGGUUUUAGAGGAUGAUCAGCAACACUGGGACUGAGACACGGCCCCAGACUCCUACGGGAGGCAGCAGUGGGGAAUCUUGGACAAUGGGGGCAACCCUGAUCCAGCCAUGCCGCGUGAGUGAUGAAGGCCUUAGGGUCGUAAAGCUCUUUCGCCUGUGAAGAUAAUGACGGUAGCAGGUAAAGAAACCCCGGCUAACUCCGUGCCAGCAGCCGCGGUAAUACGGAGGGGGUUAGCGUUGUUCGGAAUUACUGGGCGUAAAGCGCACGUAGGCGGAUCGGAAAGUUGGGGGUGAAAUCCCGGGGCUCAACCCCGGAACUGCCUCCAAAACUAUCGGUCUAGAGUUCGAGAGAGGUGAGUGGAAUUCCGAGUGUAGNNGNNNAAUUCGUAGAUAUUCGGAGGAACACCAGUGGCGAAGGCGGCUCANCGGCUCGAUACUGACGCUGAGGUGCGAAAGUGUGGGGAGCAAACAGGAUUAGAUACCCUGGUAGUC